UCUCCUGGUCAAUAACAUCCGAAAAAGCACGAACUUUUCAUUCUUGUUAAUCAGUCAUGUUAUCUAGACAAAGUGAUUAAUAUGUUCCCUUGUUCCUUGCCAUCCGUAUUUAAACCCCCAUGUAAGAAUUUCAAAGUGUACUUCUCGUGGUCAAGUACACAGAAAUAUCCAUGAUUUUUCUUCAAUCAUCCUAAUCCAAGGCCAGCUCUUGCAGCUCAUCCAUAUGAAUUUCGCUGAAGUGGGUUGUCGAACAAAGUUUGUUCGACCCAAUAUAUUUCGACUUGUCAAGAAGUUGAUAGAAUAUUUAUCAAGAAGUUCCUCGGAUGCAUUUGGAUUCAUCUUCUUGUACAGGUAUGUAUAACUGAGAAAAAAGUCACGAGUCGAAUAUGGUGGAUUCUUUAAGAGGUUCACCCAAGCAGUUGUGUCGUGCACACAGGACGGUAGUUGACCAAGCUUCCUGCACUAUCUAAAAAUAAUUUUGCGAAGUCUUGAAACUAACAGCUUGCUAGUUGAUUUUCAUUCUUUGAGUACGAGUUUUUGUUGCUCCUUUUCUAUGUCUUAAUAGUGUUUCGAGUUGUUCUCUCCCUAAUUUCUUGUUUGGGAAGAGGGGGAGUCUACAUAGAAUCAUACAUAUUAGCUCAAUUAGGGACAACGUCAUUUCAUGUCUUCGCUUUACUUCACUAGUAAUAUCCUCCCGUAGAACAUUAGGGUUUUUCAGCUCAAACAAAUAUAUAAAUUGUGUUUUGUUCUUUCUCUAGAGUACUUCAAAGUUCAAACCAAGCUAAAAUAGAAUAUGCUAUGGUGUGAACUAACUUCCUUCAAUAUCCAUUUCCUGUGAGUUAAUUUAAUUUUAAGGGAAGAUUGUUUUGGAAGAAGUUGACUUUCUGCAUGCCAUGCGUUUUUUCGGAGAAGAUAAUUAACUUUCCGCAUUGCAUCUUAAACAACAACAUCAGGAUAUGUAACCCAAAAAAAAACUUAGGAGAAGCAUGUUAUCAUGAAGUUUGAAAACAAAACCAGCUAUUCUUCUGACUUUCUUAUCUGCUAAGAUACAUGAACUUUAAUUUUGAAUAUUUAAGCAAUAUUCCUAUAUAUAUAUAUAUAUAUAUAUAUAUAUAUAUAUAUAUAUAUAUAUAUCCUGAUAGCAGCAAAAUCAUCUGGCCACAACUUAUAGCAUCAAAACUAUUCUUUGCCGCUUGCAAUAUUAACAAAUUGAUUUCUAGUUCCUUUCUUAAAUAACUAGACACCUAUUAACAGGGAUGCAGGUCUAAAUGGCUCAGCACAACCCAUUUCUGAUAAUUAGAGUCCCAAUGACUCUUUCUUGUAUUGGAAGCAACGAUUCUUCUAAACGCAUGCAUCCCUAUAAGAUCAAAUUUAGAUGAUAGGUUGAUCAAUUAGGCAUUUUCCAAACUGAGGAUAUUCAACGGCCAUGUAUCUAAUGUUAAUUAUAAUUAGAUGAGGUGAAAAUGUAUAUCAAAUGAAAAAAAAAAAAAAAAACACUCUCUGCAAUUGUAUUGGAAACUAGCUGAUGUAUAACACGUCAACAUAUCUAAUUUCACAAGAUUGUGAUUCAAUUUCAAAAUGAUUAAUGAGGCUAUGUAGGCUGUAGAGAUUCAUUAGUAUUGACUCGCCAUCCAGAAAUUACAUUUUUAAAACAUGAAAUAGCUGUUUUUUUUUGUUCUUUUUUUCAGGCACCGAGUAAAUUAGUAUCACCAAAAAGCCAUUGGUGAAAAGGGAGUACAGAAGUACAGCUGCAGAAAUUAAUAGCAGAAGACUGUAAAAUCAAACAUAGAUUUCAUGAUGAAUCUUUCCUUGCGAGAUAUUUACCAUUCUUGGUGGACUACAUUUUUCCUCAUGAAAACGAGUGAAAAAUGAAUUUUACAAUCUUCAAACUGUUGCUGUGAAAACCGAAGCGGAAAAAUAAAAUAGAGACCUUAAUGCUAAGAUUGAACAUACAGAGAUGGUCUAAAUAGAAAACGAUCGAUCAUUACAAUCAUAAUUCCUUCAAAUGCAAAUUGAAGGCAGUACAUCCAACAUUCAAUAGCUGAUCAAGUGAGUUCCAACAAAUCUCAGCUAUACAUCCCACCUGACAGUACUAACUUAUUUUUGCUUGGUAUUUGUUCACUAUCCAGUAACCUAGUAUUCAUCCGUAUGGACGCAGUAAGUCCAUAGCUACAGCAAUACCAUUUCAGUUUUAUCAUGUACAGAAACUUGGAUAUCAUACUUCUUUUUUCCCAUAUAAAUGUACGUAGUUCCUAUAAUUAAUUAGUAUGAAUAUUCUAUUAUUUUAGCUUUAUUAUAAGCCUUCACUUCCACAGAUCAAUUUGACAACUGGAAGUCGACGUUGAGGCAUAUUCCUGUGCAGUCUCUGACCUUUUGGAAUCGUUGGCAAGCAUAUGCAUCUGCUCAGCUGCAUGAAAGGUGGCUUUAUUGGAGUAGUUAUUGGUUCCCUUGGACGCAUCCUCGU
rnacentral:lncRNA from 1 species